rnacentral:rRNA from 1 species
CAGUAGCCGCGGUAACACCGAGGGUGCGAGCGUUAAUCGGAUUUACUGGGCGUAAAGCGUGCGUAGGCGGCUUCUUAAGUCGGAUGUGAAAUCCCUGAGCUUAACUUAGGAAUUGCAUUCGAUACUGGGAAGCUAGAGUAUGGGAGAGGAUGGUAGAAUUCCAGGUGUAGCGGUGAAAUGCGUAGAGAUCUGGAGGAAUACCGAUGGCGAAGGCAGCCAUCUGGCCUAAUACUGACGCUGAGGUACGAAAGCAUGGGGAGCAAACAGGAUUAGAUACCCCUGUAGUCCCUGUCUCUUAUAC